rnacentral:rRNA from 1 species
ACUCAAAGGAAUAGACGGGGGUCCGCACAAGCAGCGGAGCAUGCGGCUUAAUUCGAUGCAACGCGAAGAACCUUACCAAGACUUGACAUAUAGUGAAAACUACCAGAAAUGAUAGGUCCGCAAGGGCGCUAUACAGGUGGUGCAUGGUUGUCGUCAGCUCGUGUCGUGAGAUGUUGGGUUAAGUCCCGCAACGAGCGCAACCCUCAUUCUAUGUUGCCAGCGAGUAAUGUCGGGGACUCAUAGAAGACCGCCGGGGUCAACUCGGAGGAAGGUGGGGACGAGGUCAAAUCAUCAUGCCCCUUAUGUCUUGGGCUGCACGCAUGCUACAAUGGCCGAUACAAAGGGCUGCAAAACCGCAAGGUCGAGCCAAUCCCAAAAAGUCGGUCUCAGUUCGGAUUGGGGUCUGCAACUCGACCCCAUGAAGUUGGAGUUGCUAGUAAUCGCAGAUCAGCAACGCUGCGGUGAAUACGUUCCCGGACCUUGUACACACCGCCCGU